rnacentral:rRNA from 1 species
UGGGGAAUAUUGCGCAAUGGGCGAAAGCCUGACGCAGCGACGCCGCGUGAGGGAUGAAGGUUUUCGGAUCGUAAACCUCUGUCAGAAGGGAAGAAACCGCACUGUGCUAAUCAGCAGUGCCUUGACGGUACCUUCAAAGGAAGCACCGGCCAACUCCGUGCCAGCAGCCGCGGUAAUACGGAGGGUGCAAGCGUUAAUCGGAAUUACUGGGCGUAAAGCGCACGUAGGCUGCUUUGUAAGUCAGGGGUGAAAUCCCACGGCUCAACCGUGGAACUGCCUUUGAUACUGCUUAGCUUGAGUCCGGGAGAGGGUGGCGGAAUUCCAGGUGUAGGAGUGAAAUCCGUAGAUAUCUGGAGGAACAUCAGUGGCGAAGGCGGCCACAUGGACCGGUAUUGACGCUGAGGUGCGAAAGCGUGGGGAGCAAACAGG